rnacentral:rRNA from 1 species
CCUACGGGAUGCAGCAGUGAGGAAUAUUGGUCAAUGGGCGUAAGCCUGAACCAGCCAAGUCGCGUGAGGGAUGAAGGUUCUAUGGAUCGUAAACCUCUUUUAUAAGGGAAUAAAGUGCGGGACGUGUCCCGUUUUGUAUGUACCUUAUGAAUAAGGAUCGGCUAACUCCGUGCCAGCAGCCGCGGUAAUACGGAGGAUCCGAUCGUUAUCCGGAUUUAUGGGGUUUAAAGGGUGCGUAGGCGGCCUUUUAAGUCAGCGGUGAAAUUCUGUGGCUCAACCAUAGAAUUGCCGUUGAAACUGGGAGGCUUGAGUAUGUUUGAGGCAGGCGGAAUGCGUGGUGUAGCGGUGAAAUGCUUAGAUAUCACGCAGAACCCCGAUUGCGAAGGCAGCCUGCCAAGCCAUGACUGACGCUGAUGCACGAAAGCGUGGGGAUCAAACAGGAUUAGAUACCCCUGUAGUC